rnacentral:misc_RNA from 1 species
GAUGAAGAACGUAGCGAAAUGCGAUAAGUAGUGUGAAUUGCAGAAUUCAGUGAAUCAUCGAAUCUUUGAACGCACAUUGCGCCCCUCGGUAUUCCGUGGGGCAUGCCUGUUCGAGCGUCAUCUACACCCUCAAGCUCUGCUUGGUGUUGGGCGUCUGUCCCGCCUCCGCGCGUGGACUCACCCCAAAUUCAUUGGCAGCGGUCCUUGCCUCCUCUCGCGCAGCACAUUGCGCUUCUUGAGGGGCUCCGGUUCGCGUCCAACAAGCACAUUUACCGUCUUUGACCUCGGAUCAGGUAGGGAUACCCGCUGAACUUAAGCAUAUCAAUAAGCGGAGGA